rnacentral:misc_RNA from 1 species
UUUCCGUGGGUGAACCUGCGGAAGGAUCAUUCAUAAUAAAGUGUUCUAUGGCACUUUUUAAAAAUCCAUAUCCACCUUGUGUGCAAUGUUAGAUCUCGUCAAUCUUGGCGAGAUUUUUAUACAUCAACUCAUUCUUUAACUAAUUUGUCUGAAAAAUAUUAUGAAUACUUAAUUCAAAAUACAACUUUCAACAACGGAUCUCUUGGCUCUC